UACUGGGCUUUCGACUACUGGGGAAAAGGCACCAAAGUCGCUGUCACCAGCGAAGCUGCCAAAGGACCAGACUUCCUCUAUGCUCUGCAGCCAUGUAAUCCCAGCAGCUCUGCAGGUCUUAUCAGCCUCGGCUGUGUCGCAGGCGGCUUCUCACCAGAGGAUUUUUCGAGCUUUAGCUGGCAGGACAGCAGCGGUAACCAGCUGUCUGACAUUUAUCAGUACUCAGCGGACAAGAACAAUAGAGUCGGCAUGGUGGUCAGUGAGAUCCGUGUCAAUGCGGCAGACUGGGGUGGACAAGCUUAUUACAAAUGUGCUGCACGACACCAAUCCACUGGAAAGAACCUAUCUGAGACAAUAUACAAGCCAGUUUCACCAACAUCCCCAACCGUGAGUCUCGUGACUCUGCCCAGCGGGGAGAGCCGUGUAGAUGCUCUAAUGUGUGUCAUUCAGGACUUCUACCCCAAGAGCGUCAGUGUGACAUGGAAAGCUGGGGACAGAACUGUCUCAGGACAGACCUGGGAGUCGGAUAAAGGACAGCCAGUACUGUACUCAGCCAGCAGUUUGCUGAAACUGGACAACAGCGUCUGGGAGAGUGACACUGUGUACACAUGUGAGGUGCAGCACAGUACUAAUAAAACCACUAAGACCAUCAGUAAAGCUCUGUCCAGUAGGUCCUGUUUGGAUGUGACCCUGAAGCCCCCAAGAGUAAAAGAGAUGUUCAUAGAUAACAGGGCUGUGCUGGAAUGCAUCAUCACAGGAGAGGAUAAGGCAGUAAAAGAAGCUGAAGUGACCUGGAUGCUGGACAGUGUACAGGAGACAGAUAAGAUUACACAGACCGGCCCAGAAAAGGCAGAUCAUCUCUUCAGAAAGAGCAGCAUCCUGACUCUGGCAGUGAAUGACUGGGAAGGUGGCAAAACAGUGAAGUGCAGUGUGCAGCAGAAGGGUGGUCCUACUAUCACUAAGACCCUCAGUUUUGGGCAAAAAGGUACGACGACACCUACAGUCUCCAUCCAAACACCAUCUCCUGAAGACCUUAAUGGAAAAAGUGAAUUCUUCCUGCUCUGCCUGGUAACAGGCUUCUAUCCUAAAGAAAUAUAUAUCAUGUGGCAAGUAAAUGAGGGGGAGUAUGAGGAGGGUAUUACUGGAGAGCCAGUUCAGACUGGGGAUAAAUACUCUGUCACCAGUCUGUUUAGGGUCUCAAAAGUGGACUGGGACAAAGGCACCAAAUACAACUGCAACGCCAGACACGCAUAUCAGAAGGGAGUCGAGAUACCUGCAUUGAAACCUAUGUCCAAAUCAAAGGUCUCCCCCGCAGAAAAAGAGUCAGACAUACAAUCUGCAUUCAGCUGUAAUGAGGGAGGUGAGGAAGAGGAUGAGUUCAGCAGCCUGUGGUCCACAGCCUUCUCCGUCAUCAUCCUCUUCCUCUUCAGCCUGGUCUACAGUGCUUUUCUCAGCCUCAUCAAGGCAAAGCAGUGAUUUUAACUUCGGGGAAAAGAAAGAAAAAAAGGCGAGAAACAAUAUCAGUUAUUAUACAGAUACUUUUCCUUUAUCUGGCUGCUUAUGUAUUGAUGAUAAUGUUUGCUGCAUGUCUUCUGAAUCUGUAUUCUCUAUGUAGAAAAUUAUGAAUUAUGUGUUAUUAAGUUUGUUACUGUCUGUUUUAUUUAAAGCUGAUGCAUUAAAUUCUCACCCAUGGGUUGUUAAAAUACUUUUUUUCAAUUAAUUCAAUUUAUUUUAGUGUUAAAUUUCAUGUGGUUUGUAAUUGAGUUCUUCUUUCUUUGGUUGGAUUAAAUAAAUGCAACAAAAUACAUAUGCAGUCAGGAUGAAUGUCAACAUUUAAAAAAGAGUGGAUAGCAGCUGAAAUGUAAGCAGCUAAAUUGUAUACUCACAUUUACGCAACGUAAAAUUGCACCAUAAUAUUUCCUUUGAAUUUUUUUCUUCUUCUACAUUAGUUAGUCUCCAUGCUAAUUUUUCUUAAAAUGUCUGAAAUGCUAAUUAUUGUCUUUUUUUAGUUGAAAUAUUUCUGUAUUCAAUGUGUCUAUACAAAUUUAUCUACAAAUAAAACUUUGUUGGUACAAAC